rnacentral:rRNA from 1 species
CCAGACUCCUACGGGAGGCAGCAGUGGGGAAUAUUGCACAAUGGGGGAAACCCUGAUGCAGCAACGCCGCGUGAGUGAAGAAGUAUUUCGGUAUGUAAAGCUCUAUCAGCAGGGAAGAAGAUGACGGUACCUGAUUAAGAAGCCCCGGCUAACUACGUGCCAGCAGCCGCGGUAAUACGUAGGGGGCAAGCGUUAUCCGGAUUUACUGGGUGUAAAGGGAGCGUAGACGGCAUAGCAAGUCUGAAGUGAAAGCCCAAGGCUCAACCAUGGGACUGCUUUGGAAACUGUCAAACUAGAGUACGGGAGAGGUAAGGGGAAUUCCUAGUGUAGCGGUGAAAUGCGUAGAUAUUAGGAGGAACACCGGUGGCGAAGGCGGCUUACUGGACUGUAACUGACGUUGAGGCUCGAAAGCGUGGGGAGCAAACAGGAUUAGAUACCCUGGUA